GUUCUCCUAAAGGUAUCGUAAUCCUCAAUGACUUGCUCUCUUUCCCUUAGCCAUAUCACACUGUCUUGAUGGAAUGCCUCGAAUCUAUCUUUCCAAUGUUGAGCAACUUCUCUAGCAUCUUUUGCUUCUUGACAUUUCUCGGCCCAAGUUGUAGGUGUGACUCGAGAAGCUUCAAGGGCUCUUUCCUUAAGUCGGCGCUCGUGCUCGGCUUGGGUCUCAGCAUUAUGGAGGGAGAUAGUGAGAUCUUGUAUUUUAGCCUCCAAUAUCUCUCUAACUUCUUUUUUCUCUUCUGUAGCUCGUAGCCACCAUCGCCUAUUCUUCUGGCAUUCUUUCUCAACUUGUCUCAACUGCUCUUUAAUGGUUUCUAGGCAGUGAUCAGCUUGUUCCAUGCCUACCUUCACUUUCUUUCUCUUAUGUUCUUCCUUGUUGACCUUUUCCUUAGUCGCUUCAAGCUGGGCCUUCUUCCUCUCUAGUUCCCACUUUAUUUCAUUUCUUUCAUUUGAAACUUGCUGGAAGCUGGUCUGUAACUCUUCAUUUUCUCGUCCAAGUCUUGCUAUAGUAGCUCUCAACGCUUCCACUUCUUCCAUGGAGACAGGGAUGGGUUCUGGUGGUGAAGGUUGAGUUGGAGGAUCGAGGAUGAAUGGCAGUUUGAUCUCUAGACUUCUUCUGGUGACCCAUUGAUGAUAGGGUUCUCUAUCCCCUAUGACACCCUUUCCUCUGUCUUGUCCUCUGAAGCGAACUUUCUCCCAGGCUCAGAUAACCCUUCUCAGCAUAACGGGAUCGUCCAUAUCAUGGAACACAAAACCUUCUAACAACUGGUCAUCCGGCUUAUAGGUGAUAGGGUAACCCAACUGCCUCAUCGCUAAAAUAGGAUUGUAGUUAAUGCAUCCUUUUGACCCUAUCAAUGGUAAGGUGACUUCUUGGGCAAGUCUGGCCUUUGUAUUUCUCGAAAUCAGGAGUUUUAAAUUUAGCCGGAAUGACCAAAUUUGAUACUAAGCGCAUGUUCAUGGCAGAGGCACCGAAGAUAUUAUUCCCUUAAAUAACUUUGAUCUUCUUUUCCAAGGCACGGAGCCUAUCUGCAGAUGGGUCUGGAAGUGUCUUAGGCUUCGGAUGAUCAGGCACAUAGAAAGCUUCGUAUGGGUCAUCUCCUAUUUCGGACCCAUAAUGAGCAGGCGCCUCAGAAGGCUCUGCACGAUCCCCCUCUCCUUUGCUUCCUAUUGGUAUAUGAACCAGACUCUUCUUGGCGUGGACGUAGCUCUCAUCUUGGUGGGCCAAACUUGAUGGGUUAUCAUUCCUUCUAGCCUCAUCUUCUGCAUCAGCAACCCUCUCUCUCUGGGCGAUGGCGAGCAUUGUUUCCAGCAGUUGAUCUAUCUUCUCUUGGAUCGUAUUGAUGUCUGACCUCAUGGUAGCUUGGUUCGCCUCCACUUGCUCUAACGUCAUCUUGUAGUUGCUUCGCGUCUCGUACCGGUGUUGAUUAGUCAGCGUUACUGGAUAGAGGGCAAAAGGUUGGGUAAGUUUUUUUUUGUUUUUUUCGUUUUUAUGAAGCGUGAUGCAUGAGGAUGCGAAUGUUAUGCAUAUUUUAUUUUCAAGGAAUUUUCAUCACAGUUGUAGUUAUAUUAAGCAUUCGAAGAAAACAUAAAGUCAAUAAAUAAAAAUGAGGAUCAUCCUCCUUCAUUCAGAUGUUUAAAGUACGGAGUACAAAGGCAUAACCGCCCAAAUCGAUACAGCUCAAAUACUAAACUGAAUAUAAGAAAAACAACAGAAUCACACAGCAGUCUUUCGAGUUAUGAGUUCUUCUAAUUCAAGCUUGAACCUCUUCACCAUCCCCUGACACAUCAUAACAAAAUGGAUUACAGCGGGAUGUGUGCCAUGUUGGUCCAAUCCUUCCACUGCCUCUCUCAACCUCCAAGGCAUUUCUUGGGUCGUCCAGUUGCAGAAUUGUACCAAACCGUUGAGCUUUGCACGGUACCCAUCUUUGUCCGCUUGCAAGAAAUUGAUAGUUCUCCUAAAGGUAUCGUAAUCCUCAAUGACUUGCUCUCUUUCCCUUAGCCAUAUCACACUGUCUUGAUGGAAUGCCUCGAAUCUAUCUUUCCAAUGUUGAGCAACUUCUCUAGCAUCUUUUGCUUCUUGACAUUUCUCGGCCCAAGUUGUAGGUGUGACUCGAGAAGCUUCAAGGGCUCUUUCCUUAAGUCGGCGCUCGUGCUCGGCUUGGGUCUCAGCAUUAUGGAGGGAGAUAGUGAGAUCUUGUAUUUUAGCCUCCAAUAUCUCUCUAACUUCUUUUUUCUCUUCUGUAGCUCGUAGCCACCAUCGCCUAUUCUUCUGGCAUUCUUUCUCAACUUGUCUCAACUGCUCUUUAAUGGUUUCUAGGCAGUGAUCAGCUUGUUCCAUGCCUACCUUCACUUUCUUUCUCUUAUGUUCUUCCUUGUCGACCUUUUCCUCAGUCGCUUCAAGCUGGGCCUUCUUCCUCUCUAGUUCCCACUUUAUUUCAUUUCUUUCAUUUGAAACUUGCUGGAA
rnacentral:lncRNA from 1 species